rnacentral:rRNA from 1 species
GAUGAACGCUGGCGGCGUGCCUAAUACAUGCAAGUCGAGCGAACAGACGAGGAGCUUGCUCCUCUGACGUUAGCGGCGGACGGGUGAGUAACACGUGGAUAACCUACCUAUAAGACUGGGAUAACUUCGGGAAACCGGAGCUAAUACCGGAUAAUAUAUUGAACCGCAUGGUUCAAUAGUGAAAGACGGUUUUGCUGUCACUUAUAGAUGGAUCCGCGCCGCAUUAGCUAGUUGGUAAGGUAACGGCUUACCAAGGCAACGAUGCGUAGCCGACCUGAGAGGGUGAUCGGCCACACUGGAACUGAGACACGGUCCAGAAUCCUACGGGAGGCAGCAGUAGGGAAUCUUCCGCAAUGGGCGAAAGCCUGACGGAGCAACGCCGCGGGAGUGAUGAAGGUCUUCGGAUCGUAAAACUCUGUUAUUAGGGAAGAACAAAUGUGUAAGUAACUAUGCACGUCUUGACGGUACCUAUCAGAAAGCCACGGCUAACUACGUG